UGCUGUGAUGGUGUAAUUUGCGUCUGACUCUGUGGCCAGUGACGGUAUGCCUGCUGUCAUAUGCUGGCACAGAUGACUGGUGAACUUUGAGUCUGAGCA
ensembl:snoRNA SNORD16 Small nucleolar RNA SNORD16